GAUUGCUGUCUCAGUAUGUCACACACUGAAAAAUCUCCUCCCCCCCGCGAAACUUGCUAAAAUUCAAGUUUUUUUUUCUGGACACUUAAAAAGAAAUCUGUCUCUGUGUGAGAUGUAUAUGUUUGUGCGUAUUUUUUCUGUGUCUGUAGGCUUUUUGUGGUGGCAGUUAAACCAUGAAAUUCUGUCUCAAUAUAGGCCUUUAUUCCACAGACUCUACAAGUGCUCCUUUACUGGUAGUGCCUCAAAGCAUGUAUUGCAGAGGCCAAACAAUAAGUUGAUGCAAAUGCUCCCAGCAUUUACCAGCAUCUACCAAUUUCUUCUUCUUCCCCAUUACUCUGCAGGUCACAUCUCAGGGAUUACAGAAAAGCUAGAAGAAAGGAGGUGGGAGGGGGGUCUUAAAAGAGGUACAUAAAGUCAGAAGAGACUGUCGUGACUGAGCCUCAGAGACCACAUUUUCUAGCAAAUGUCCCCCUUAAUCUGAUUAAAGGCCUCUGCUAUCCUGUCUCCCCAAGGCAGAAGGAUGAGAGCUGGACUUCCUCCCUCUAGAAUCUAGCAGGAUGGAAAAUUGCUGAAGAGGCAACACAUAAGAGUCGCCUGCCUUUGAUCAUCCCCAAAGAGCUUGAUAAGGUCUUUUCAGAAGAAGGCCCAGCUAAAGUCAAUGGAGAUUACUUCCAGAUAUAAAAGGAAGGCACUAGAAGAAUUCACAGUUUUCAGGAGUGGGCAGAGAAUGAUGAGUGUUUGCUGGAGAGAGGUUUAGGGAGAAGGAGAAUGGAACAGAAUAUCAUGCGAAAGGGCAUUGCUGACAGGCUUGAUCACUGGACAAGAGUUUCUCAUUGCAAAGCUGCCUAGUUCACACGAAGAAGUCAUCUUUCUGUGCUGUGUUUACUGUCUACUUCAGUAUAUGGAAUGUAAAGUCAUUUAAUUGAACCAGCCCUGGAAGCAAGCAUCAUAUAUUUGUCCGACUCAUGACUUCUCAAUUCAAUAUUCAGUUCACAGUCAUAAAAAACUGAUCCAGAAGCAGAAAUGAUACCGGGUGAAUUCUCCGCACCGUCACCAAUCCCAUGCUAUAAAUAAUGGACGAUGAAUAGUGAAUUGCCAACAUGCAUGCUGUUUGGAAGGAAGGACCCCGCAGGCUGAAAUUUGUUUGCAUAAACUAUAAGUCAAACAAUUACCCAAUGACAAAUGCAUUCAUAAAAACCCAAAUAGGUGUGUUGUUCAUUCACAGCAAAUGCUAAACUUCUCACGUAAAUUAUUCAGAGAGAACAAUUCAGCCAUGAAAUUCACUGUUGACAAAUUCAAGGUAUUUCUUAUGGGGAACUUGGGGAAGAAUAAUUUGAGCUACUCAUACACGUUGUUGGCUUCUAAAUUAAGUAUAACACUCAGAAGGGGGGGGGAGAGACUUUAUCAGCAAUGUUCUCCAAUCCACUGAAAGCCCCUAUUCACAACAGAGCACCACAGUAAACAUUUUGCAUACAAAAUAUUCAGAAGGAAUACCUAAGAAAGAGAAUGGCAUAGUGGUUAUGGGGAGAGUUCUCCAAAAUAUUGGGAUAGAAAUGUUCAAAGAAUUGGUCAAAGUGAGCAUAGAGUUCAGGUUGAGAACAUAGGAUGACUGUAGGGAGGGUUAGAAAAUUAAUCUUAAUUAUAAGAUCCUGAACUGCUGCAUGUGGAGUAUGAAGUUCUGUAAAACUUUGUGCUUCACUUCAACAACAGCCAAACCUUGCGGAGUGCUGCUACUGAUGUCAAAUAGUGUCGAAUGGCCUAACCCCUAUCAAGCCCUCAGGGGAGUGAAGGGAAUGAUGGUUCAGGCGACUUGGAGGGCAAGGUAGCAACAAGAUGGAGACAGUGUCAUGUGGCAAAUAAACCUAAAGCUUAAUUAUUUUCACAUUUUUAAAGAGGUUUAAAAGCCACAUGUGAAAGUAUAUUGCUUCAACUCAAUAUAGGGCUUACAGGAAGCAGCAUGAAGUGGAGCAAGUAGGUUGAUGGAAGAAAGGGUUGUAGGUCCAAUUGGAAAGGUGGGAGAGAAAGCAUGCUGGGGGAAAUGGAGAGAAGGUAAGAGGUGCAGCAGGUGAGUGCAAUAGAAGGAAAAGUGGGAUGGAAGGCAGCAAAGAGAGGAUGAGAGAUAUAAGAGAUGAUGUGCAAGAAGUAAGGGAGGGAAAAUGAGGGAAGUGAGGUUAGGCAAGGGGAGAAGAGGCAAGAUAGACUAAGAAAUGUAGUGGCACUGUGCAAGGAACAAAAGAAGCAGGCAUAAGUUGCAGAAGGAGGAUGGGAGUUUCAAGACCCAAGGGAGGUGAGCAUAGCAAAGGUACAAGGUGUGGGUUGAGGAAGGGAGAGAGAUGCAGCACAAAGUAAGACAGAAAAGCAUUCUGAAGGCAUGUGGUAGGACAAGAAGAAGGAAUGAAGAGAAGGUGAAAGUUUUGUUGGAAGGGUGCAAAGGGAAAGAGAAAGAACUACUGUAUUAGGUGCAAAGUGUGAGGGAAAAGAAUGUGGUUUUUUAAUGCUCAUCCUAAUUUUCCCUUGCAUUUCUCCCAUGAAUUAGAUGAGGGUCCCUCUCAAGAGCUCCUCUCAUACUUUCAUGGAUCUGUAUCUCUUUUUGUCAGCAACAACAAAAACACCCUGGUAGGAAAAAUACUAUAGUGAUCUGCUGAAAAUCAAUAGGGUGCUUGUGCAGGUAGCUUUGCUGAAAGAUAGUGAUGACUCAAGAUCACAUGGUAAAUUCAAUGAUUGAGGCUGCUGCCACACUGCAGAAUUAAUGCAAUUUGACAUUGCUUUAAAUGUCAUGGCUCCAUCUUAUGGAAUCCUGGGAUUUGUAGUUUGCUGUGACAUCAGAGCUCACUGACAGAGAAAGCUAAAUAUCUCACAAAACUACAAAUCUGAGAAUUUCAUAGUAUUGAGUCAUAGCAGUUAAAUUGGUGUCAAACUGUAUUAAUUCUAAAGUACAGAUGCAACCUAAACAGAGAUUUCAACUUGUGUCUCUCUGUACCAGCAUUUUAAAUAUUGUUUUACAUUUCUUCUUGCAGAAGAAUAGUUGCUAUUAAAAGGUAUCAAGGCUGAAACAUAAUAGCAUCAAAAUGCAACUGUUGUGUUAAAUUUCCACAUU